AUAAUGGCAAGUCGAACGAGCUUCCGUUGAAUGACGUGCUUGCACUGAUUUCAACAAUGAAGCGAGUGGCGAACUGGUGAGUAACACGUGGGAAAUCUGCCCAGAAGCAGGGGAUAACACUUGGAAACAGGUGCUAAUACCGUAUAACAACAAAAUCCGCAUGGAUUUUGUUUGAAAGGUGGCUUCGGCUAUCACUUCUGGAUGAUCCCGCGGCGUAUUAGUUAGUUGGUGAGGUAAAGGCCCACCAAGACGAUGAUACGUAGCCGACCUGAGAGGGUAAUCGGCCACAUUGGGACUGAGACACGGCCCAAACUCCUACGGGAGGCAGCAGUAGGGAAUCUUCCACAAGGGACGAAAGUCUGAUGGAGCAAUGCCGCGUGAGUGAAGAAGGGUUUCGGCUCGUAAAACUCUGUUGUUAAAGAAGAACACCUUUGAGAGUAACUGUUCAAGGGUUGACGGUAUUUAACCAGAAAGCCACGGCUAACUACGUGCCAGCAGCCGCGGGUAAUACGUAGGUGGCAAGCGUUGUCCGGAUUUAUUGGGGCGUAAAGCGAGCGCAGGCGGUUUUUUAAGUCUGAUGUGAAAGCCUUCGGCUUAACCGGAGAAGUGCAUCGGAAACUGGGGAGACUUGAGUGCAGAAGAGGACAGUGGAAACUC
rnacentral:rRNA from 1 species